AGAAUCAACGCUGGCGCGGUGCCUAACGACGAUGCAAGUCGAACGAGAAAGUGGAGCAAUCCACAAGUAAAGUGGCGCACGGGUGAGUAACACGUGACUAACCUACCCUUGAGUGGGGGAUAACCUAGAGAAAUCUGGGCUAAUACCGCAUAAUACCUUCGGGUCAAAGGAGCAAUUCGCUUAAGGAGGGGGUCGCGGCCGAUUAGUUAGUUGGCGGGGUAAUGGCCCACCAAGACUAUGAUCGGUAUCCGGCCUGAGAGGGCGCACGGACACACUGGAACUGAAACACGGUCCAGACUCCUACGGGAGGCAGCAGUGGGGAAUUUGCGCAAUGGGGGAAACCCUGACGCAGCAACGCCGCGUGGAGGAUGAAGCCCCUUGGGGCGUAAACUCCUUUCGAUCGGGACGAUAAUGACGGUACCGAGAGAAGAAGCCCCGGCUAACUUCGCGCCAGCAGCCGC
rnacentral:rRNA from 1 species